CACGUAGGCGGACUUUUAAGUCAGGGGUGAAAUCCCGGGGCUCAACCCCGGAACUGCCUUUGAUACUGGAAGUCUUGAGUAUGGAAGAGGUAAGUGGAAUUGCGAGUGUAGAGGUGAAAUUCGUAGAUAUUCGCAGGAACACCAGUGGCGAAGGCGGCUUACUGGUCCAUUACUGACGCUGAGGCUCGAAAGCGUGGGGAGCAAACA
rnacentral:rRNA from 1 species